AUACGGAGGACGCGAGCGUUAUCCGGAUUCAUUGGGUUUAAAGGGUGCGCAGGCGGCCGUGCAAGUCAGCGGUGAAAGCCCGGGGCUCAACCCCGGAAGUGCCGUUGAUACUGCAUGGCUGGAAUGCGGUCGAGGCGGGCGGAACGGGGCGUGUAGCGGGGAAAUGCGUAGAGAUGGCACAGAACGCCGAUAGCGGAGGCAGCUCGCCGGGCCUGCAUGGACGCGCGGGCACGAAAGCGUGGGGAUCGAACAGGAUUAGAUACCCUGGUGGUCCACGCCGUAAACGAUGGGCGCUCGUCGUCGGCGGCAGACAGUCGGCGGCCAAGCGAAAGCGAUAAGCGCCCCACCUGGGGAGUACGGUCGCAAGGCUGAAACUCAAAUGAAUUGACGGGG
rnacentral:rRNA from 1 species